UCGAUACUGUUUGACUUGAAUAUGGAUGAGGUAGGCGGAAUGUGUAGUGUAGCCGGUGAAAUGCUUAGAUAUUACACAGAACACCGAUUGCGAAGGCAGCUUACUAAUCCAUGAUUGACGCUGAGGCACGAAAGCGUGGGGAUCAAACAGGAUUAGAUACCCUGGUAGUACCACGCUGUAAACGAUGAUCACUCGCUGUUUGCGAUACACAGUAAGCGGCUAAGCGAAAGCGUUAAGUGAUCCACCUGGGGAGUACGAUCGCAAGGUUGAAACUCAAAGGAAUUGACGGGGGCCCGCACAAGCGGAGGAACAUGUGGUUUAAUUCGAUGAUACGCGAGGAACCUUACCUGGGCUUAAAUGGGGAGUGACAGCUGCUGAAAGGUGGUUUUCUUCGGACACUCUCCAAGGUGCUGCAUGGUUGUCGUCAGCUCGUGCCGUGAGGUGUCGGGUUAAGUCCCAUAACGAGCGCAA
rnacentral:rRNA from 1 species